UUAAUUGCUCACGUUCAUAUCUUGCACAUGUCGAGGCACUGUUAAUAUGAAACAAAAGCCACACCUGCGGCACGUUUGUAUUUCACAACAGCAGAUAAACACAUACAUACAUAAAAACAAAAAGGCAUUUAGCCUCUUGACGUUUUUUUCUCUGAGGACCUGUGGGGUUUUCUUUUAAGCUCUUAGUAAUUACUUAGCGAGUAGAAACAAUGAAGGCCUUCAUCGCGGUCGCGACGGGGUUUGUCACCUCCAGCUGGUACAACAGCGUUUCUAGCUCAUCCAACUGCGCCACGCCGAGCAGCCCAUUCUCACAAUCUGAGUUUCGCUCCUUUCCCUUGAUGGAUGUCUAUGACGAGUCCCAUAACACGAAGGUGUUUCGCUUUGCGUUGCCGGAGGCGGAUAUGCCACUUAACCUGGAGGUAGCCAGCUGUGUUAGCUUCCGCUUUUUCGACAAAGAUGGGAAGGAGGUCAUUCGCCCCUACACGCCGCUUAACCGCAGUGAUCAGCUUGGCUACUUCGAUGUUUUGGUGAAGAAGUACCAGGGCUCAAAGAUGGGCACUCAUUUGUUCUCAAUGAAGAAGGGUGACACCAUCGACGUUAAGGGACCGUGGAUGAAAUUGCCGAUCAAGGCAAAUCAAUACAAAAUGAUUGGAAUGAUUGCCGGUGGUACGGGUAUCACGCCGAUGUACCAGGUAGCGCGCCAUGUGUUGCACGCACCGAAGAACAACACAGAAAUCACGCUCAUCUACGCAAAUGAACGCAAGGAAGACGUGCUGCUUGGGAACGAGCUGAACGAGCUAAUGGAGACGUACCCACGCUUUUCGCCGUACUUUGUGCUUUCGAAGGCACCAUCUGACUGGAUGGGCGGCGUUGGCUUUGUCAACAAGGAGAUGAUCAAGUCACUGAUGCCUGCGCCGAACCGUGCGGGUGAUUCUAUCAUUCUUGUUUGUGGACCGCCGCCAUUUAUGGAAGCUAUUUCGGGUGACAAAGACUUCAAGAGCAACCCACCAUCUCAGGGUGAGCUGAAGGGCUGCCUGAAGGAGCUUGGCUAUAUGCCCAAGAUGGUGUACAAGUUUUAGCGAGUGCAAAAGGAAAAGAGACCGAAGCGCAAUGCCGAAGCCACUGAGGCCUCUUUUCAGGGGGUGCAAGCGGUGCUGACUUACAGCAGAGGAGGGUACUAAGAGGAAAGAGCAGCUUAUACAAGAAAGCAAACGCGCGCUAUCGCGGAUGUUAAGGCCUUUCUGAAAGCUGGGAAAAUGAGAGACACAGCACAAAUAUGAUAGUGCACCAAACACAAAGGUGCUGUCAACACUACCUUGAGAUUGAGGGGCGUGCGAAUAGGGAGUAUGGUCUACAGGUGUGUUAAUGUAUGCGUGUGGAGCCCCAGCUGAAUUUGUGGGGAUUUAUCGUUAUCAUUAUUUUUUGUCGUGUGCACUGUAGACAUCUUCGCCCUCUUUUUUCUCUGAGUUUUUGUGCGCACGGCUGCUCCACUUUUUCCCACAUACCCAGAAUGUGUAACAGGUUUGCGGCCCUUCACGAUGCAAGAGUGUAUGAUCGUUUAGUACACCUUUCGGAGCGGUCUUGUGAUGUCUUCCUGCCAUCAUUUCCGUUCUUUCACGUCGCUAUCCGAUUCCUUUGUCCGUUAAUGCGUGCAAUACUAUCUUUCAUCUCGAGCUCCUUUUCUGUCUCGUUCUCUCUCUUCCUCUUUCUGUGUACUUGGUACUGGCCGUCUAUUUUUCGCUGCGCUGCGGACUGAUUUCAGUCGUGAACGGUACAGAAAAC
rnacentral:misc_RNA from 1 species